rnacentral:rRNA from 1 species
CCUACGGGGAGCUGCAGUGGGGAAUAUUGGACAAUGGGCGAAAGCCUGAUCCAGCCAUGCCGCGUGUGUGAAGAAGGCCUUCGGGUUGUAAAGCACUUUCAGUGGGGAAGAAAGCCUUGGGGCUAAUACCCUCGAGGAAGGACAUCACCCACAGAAGAAGCACCGGCUAACUCCGUGCCAGCAGCCGCGGUAAUACGGAGGGUGCGAGCGUUAAUCGGAAUUACUGGGCGGAAAGCGCGCGUAGGCGGUCUGAUAAGCCGGUUGUGAAAGCCCCGGGCUCAACCUGGGAACGGCAUCCGGAACUGUCAGGCUAGAGUGCAGGAGAGGAAGGUAGAAUUCCCGGUGUAGCGGUGAAAUGCGUAGAGAUCGGGAGGAAUACCAGUGGCGAAGGCGGCCUUCUGGACUGACACUGACGCUGAGGUGCGAAAGCGUGGGUAGCAAACAGGAUUAGAUACCCUUGUAGUC